rnacentral:rRNA from 1 species
AUUGAACGCUGGCGGCAUGCCUUACACAUGCAAGUCGAACGGUAACAGGUCUUCGGAUGCUGGCGAGUGGCGAACGGGUGAGUAAUACAUCGGAACGUGCCCGAGAGUGGGGGAUAACGAGGCGAAAGCUUUGCUAAUACCGCAUACGAUCUCAGGAUGAAAGCAGGGGACCGCAAGGCCUUGCGCUCACGGAGCGGCCGAUGGCAGAUUAGGUAGUUGGUGGGAUAAAAGCUUACCAAGCCGACGAUCUGUAGCUGGUCUGAGAGGACGACCAGCCACACUGGGACUGAGACACGGCCCAGACUCCUACGGGAGGCAGCAGUGGGGAAUUUUGGACAAUGGGCGCAAGCCUGAUCCAGCCAUGCCGCGUGCAGGAUGAAGGCCUUCGGGUUGUAAACUGCUUUUGUACGGAACGAAAAGACUCCUUCUAAUAAAGGGGGUCCAUGACGGUACCGUAAGAAUAAGCACCGGCUAACUACGUGCCAGCCGCCGCAGUAAGAC